GACGAACGCUGGCGGCGUGCCUAAUACAUGCAAGUCGAACGCAGUGGGGACGGGUGAGUAACAAGUGGGUAACCUCCCAUCAGAGGGGAUAACACUUGGAAACAGGUGCUAAACCGAUACUGAUGGAUGGACCCGCGGUGCUUUAGCUAGGUGGUGAGGUAACGGCCCACCAAGGCCACGAUGCAUAGCCGACCUGAGAGGGUGAUCGGCCACACUGGAACUGAGACACGGCCCAGACUCCUACGGGAGGCAGCAGUGGGGAAUCUUCGACAAUGGGCGAAAGCCUGACCGAGCAACGCCGCGUGAGUGAAGAAGGUUUUCGGGUCGUAAAGCUCUGUUGUUAGAGAGGCGGUAUCUAAUCAGAAAGCCACGGCUAACUACGUGCCAGCAGCCGCGGUAAUAC
rnacentral:rRNA from 1 species